rnacentral:tRNA from 1 species
GACUGGAUCGCGGAAUGGUAGACGCAAACGUCAGGCAAGCAUAAGCCCUCAAUCGUUGCAAAUAGCAGGUUCGAUUCCUGCUCCAGUCA